GGCCCAGUGGCGAAUGAUCCGCGUCUGCGAAGAUUAGCUGUAAGCAAUGGUUGCUUCGGAGCAGAAGACGCUCGUUCGACUCGAGCCUGGGCCA